rnacentral:rRNA from 1 species
AAUGAACGCUGGCGGCGUGCCUAACACAUGCAAGUCGAACGGAAAGACCCUGCUUGCGUGGGGUGCCGGCGGGGGGAUGGGGAGAGGUACACGUGAAUAUCCGGCUCUUGAUUUUGGGAGGACCUCAGGAAGGGGGGGCUACUACCGUAGAGCAGACCCUGCAGGAUGGGGAGGGUGGGAAAUUUGCCGCGGGUGGGGAUGGAUGCGGGGCUUUACACCUUGUUGGUGGGGUAGGGGCAGACCGAGGCUUCGGCGGGUAGCCGGCCGGUGAGGGUGACCGGCCACAUGGGGACUGAGAUACGGCCCAGACUCCUACGGGAGACAGCAGUGGGGAAUAUUACCCAAUGGGCGGACGCCUGAUGCAGCAGCGCCGCGUGCGGAAUGACGGCCUUCGGGUUGUAAACCGCUUUCGCCUAUGACGAAGCGUGAGUGACGGUAAUGGGUAAAGAAGCACCGGCUAACUUCGUG